rnacentral:rRNA from 1 species
UACGAAGGGGGGCUAGCGUUGCUCGGAUUGACUGGGCGUAAAGGGCGCGUAGGCGGUUCGUACAGUCAGACGUGAAAUUCCUGGGCUCAACCUGGGAACGGCAUUUGGGACUGUCGGGCUAGAGUUCGGGAGAGGUGGGUGGAAUUCCCAGUGUAGAGGUGAAAUUCGUAGAUAUUGGGAAGAACACCGGUGGCGAAGGCGGCUCACUGGACCGAGACUGACGCUGAGGCGCGAAAGCGUGGGAGCAAACAGG